GUGAGGGAAAGGUGAAAAGCACCCCGGGAGGGGAGUGAAAUAGAACCUGAAACCGCAUACAUACAAACAGUAGGAGCCCGUGUAGUCGGGUGACUGCGUACCUUUUGCAUAAUGGGUCAGCGACUUACGUUUUGUGGCGAGCUUAACCGAGUAGGGGAGGCGUAGCGAAAGCGAGUUCGAAUAGAGCGAGAAGUCUCAAGGCGUAGACCCGAAACCAGAUGAGCUAUCCAUGGCCAGGUUGAAGGUGUGGUAACACACACUGGAGGACCGAACCGACUAGUGUUGCAAAAUUAGCGGAUGAGCUGUGGAUAGGGGUGAAAGGCUUAACAAAUCUGGAGAUAGCUGGUUCUCCCCGAAAACUAUUGAGGUAGUGCCUCGUGUAUUGCUCCAGGGGGUAGAGCACUGUUAUGGCUAGGGGGACAUGGCGUCUUACCAAACCAUGGCAAACUCCGAAUACUUGGAAGUAAGAGCACGGGAGACAGAGCACCGGGUGCUAACGUCCGGACUCAAGAGGGAAACAACCCAGACCGCCGUUUAAGGUCCCAAAUAUUGACUAAGUGGAAAACGAAGUGUGAAGGCUAAGACAGUCAGGAAGUUGGCUUAGAAGCAGCCAUCCUUCAAAGAAAGCGUAAUAGCUCACUGAUCGAGUCCUCAUGCGCGGAAGAUGUAACGGGGCUAAGUCAAUAACCGAAAGCGCGGAUUUGUACGAAAGUACAAGUGGUAGGGGAGCGUUCUGUAAGCCUGCGAAGGUGGUUCGAGAGGACUGCUGGAGGUAUCAGAAGUGCGAAUGCUGACAUGAGUAACGUUAAAGCGGGUGAAAAGCCCGCUCGCCGUAAGCCCAAGGUUUCCUGCUCUACGUUCAUCGGAGCAGGGUGAGUCGGCCCCUAAGGCCAGGCUGAGAAGCGUAGUCGAUGGGAAGCAGAUUAAUAUUUCUGCACCAUGUGCAAGUGCGAUGGGGGGACGGAGUGCGAAAGAUCAUCCGGGUGUUGGAUGUCCCGGUUUGUGAGUGUAGAAGGCCGACAGGCAAAUCCGUCGGCGGAUCUUCGAGACAAAGCAUCGAGGUUCUACGGAACCGAAGUGAUCGGAAGUGCUUCCAGGAAAAGCCUCUAAGCUCCAGCUUGCAUGUGACCGUACCGUAAACCGACACUGGUGGGCGAGUUGAAUAUACUCAGGCGCUUGAGAGAACUCGGGAGAAGGAACUCGGCAAAUUGACACCGUAACUUCGGGAUAAGGUGUGCCUUUGUAGCGUGAAGAGAGAAACACUCGGAGCGUGAAGAGGCCUCAGAGAAUCGGUGGCUGCAACUGUUUAUUAAAAACACAGCACUCUGCAAAGACGAAAGUCGACGUAUAGGGUGUGAUGCCUGCCCGGUGCUGGAAGAUUAAGUGAUGGGGUGAGAGCUCCUGAUCGAAGUCCCAGUAAACGGCGGCCGUAACUAUAACGGUCCUAAGGUAGCGAAAUUCCUUGUCGGGUAAGUUCCGACCUGCACGAAUGGCAUAAUGAUGGCCACACUGUCUCCUCCCGAGACUCAGUGAAGUUGAAAUGUUUGUGAUGAUGCAAUCUCCCCGCGGCUAGACGGAAAGACCCCAUGAACCUUUACUGUAGCUUUGCAUUGGACUUUGAACCGAUUUGUGUAGGAUAGGCGGGAGGCAGAGAAAGCGCAACGCCAGUUGUGCCGGAGCCGACGUUGAAAUACCGCCCUGAUUUGUUUGAGGUUCUAACCGCGACCCGUGAGCCGGGUUCGGGACCGUGCAUGGCAGGCAGUUUGACUGGGGCGGUCUCCUCCUAAAGGGUAACGGAGGAGUACAAAGGUACGCUAGGUACGGUCGGAAAUCGUGCUGAUAGUGCAAAGGCAAAAGCGUGCUUGACUGCGAGACCGACAAGUCGAGCAGAUGCGAAAGCAGGUCUUAGUGAUCCGGUGGCUCUGAAUGGAAGGGCCAUCGCUCAACGGAUAAAAGGUACUCUGGGGAUAACAGGCUGAUACCGCCCAAGAGUUCAUAUCGACGGCGGGGUUUGGCACCUCGAUGUCGGCUCAUCGCAUCCUGGGGCUGUAGCAGGUCCCAAG
rnacentral:rRNA from 1 species